GAGUUUGAUCAUGGCUCAGAUUGAACGCUGGCGGCAGGCCUAACACAUGCAAGUCGAACGGUAACAGGAAGAAGCUUGCUUCUUUGCUGACGAGUGGCGGACGGGUGAGUAAUGUCUGGGAAACUGCCUGAUGGAGGGGGAUAACUACUGGAAACGGUAGCUAAUACCGCAUAACGUCGCAAGACCAAAGAGGGGGACCUUCGGGCCUCUUGCCAUCGGAUGUGCCCAGAUGGGAUUAGCUAGUAGGUGGGGUAACGGCUCACCUAGGCGACGAUCCCUAGCUGGUCUGAGAGGAUGACCAGCCACACUGGAACUGAGACACGGUCCAGACUCCUACGGGAGGCAGCAGUGGGGAAUAUUGCACAAUGGGCGCAAGCCUGAUGCAGCCAUGCCGCGUGUAUGAAGAAGGCCUUCGGGUUGUAAAGUACUUUCAGCGGGGAGGAAGGGAGUAAAGUUAAUACCUUUGCUCAUUGACGUUACCCGCAGAAGAAGCACCGGCUAACUCCGUGCCAGCAGCCGCGGUAAUACGGAGGGUGCAAGCGUCAAUCGGAAUUACUGGGCGUAAAGCGCACGCAGGCGGUUUGUUAAGUCAGAUGUGAAAUCCCCGGGCUCAACCUGGGAACUGCAUCUGAUACUGGCAAGCUUGAGUCUCGUAGAGGGGGGUAGAAUUCCAGGUGUAGCGGUGAAAUGCGUAGAGAUCUGGAGGAAUACCGGUGGCGAAGGCGGCCCCCUGGACGAAGACUGACGCUCAGGUGCGAAAGCGUGGGGAGCAAACAGGAUUAGAUACCCUGGUAGUCCACGCCGUAAACGAUGUCGACUUGGAGGUUGUGCCCUUGAGGCGUGGCUUCCGGAGCUAACGCGUUAAGUCGACCGCCUGGGGAGUACGGCCGCAAGGUUAAAACUCAAAUGAAUUGACGGGGGCCCGCACAAGCGGUGGAGCAUGUGGUUUAAUUCGAUGCAACGCGAAGAACCUUACCUGGUCUUGACAUCCACGGAAGUUUUCAGAGAUGAGAAUGUGCCUUCGGGAACCGUGAGACAGGUGCUGCAUGGCUGUCGUCAGCUCGUGUUGUGAAAUGUUGGGUUAAGUCCCGCAACGAGCGCAACCCUUAUCCUUUGUUGCCAGCGGUCCGGCCGGGAACUCAAAGGAGACUGCCAGUGAUAAACUGGAGGAAGGUGGGGAUGACGUCAAGUCAUCAUGGCCCUUACGACCAGGGCUACACACGUGCUACAAUGGCGCAUACAAAGAGAAGCGACCUCGCGAGAGCAAGCGGACCUCAUAAAGUGCGUCGUAGUCCGGAUUGGAGUCUGCAACUCGACUCCAUGAAGUCGGAAUCGCUAGUAAUCGUGGAUCAGAAUGCCACGGUGAAUACGUUCCCGGGCCUUGUACACACCGCCCGUCACACCAUGGGAGUGGGUUGCAAAAGAAGUAGGUAGCUUAACCUUCGGGAGGGCGCUUACCACUUUGUGAUUCAUGACUGGGGUGAAGUCGAAACAAGGUA
rnacentral:rRNA from 1 species